rnacentral:rRNA from 1 species
GUGCACCAGUCGCGAAACUUUACAAUGUGCGAAAGCACGAUAAGGGAACUCUGAGUGCCUCCUAAGGAGGCUGUUCAGGUGUCUAAAAGCACCUGAAGGAAGGGCUGGGUAAGACCGGUGCCAGCCGCCGCGGUAACACCGGCAGCCCAAGUGGUAGCCACGUUUAUUGGGUCUAAAGCGUCCGUAGCCGGCUGGGUAAGUUCCUUGGGAAAUUUGGCUGCUUAACAGUCAAGCUUUCAGGGAAUACUGCCCGGCUUGGGACCGGGAGAGGUCAGAGGUACUCCAGGGGUAGGGGUGAAAUCCAUUAAUCCUUGGGGGACCACCGGUAGCGAAGGCGUCUGACCAGACCGGGUCCGACGGUGAGGGACGAAGGCUAGGGGCGCGAACCGGAUUAGAUA